rnacentral:snRNA from 1 species
GUACCCGCUUUCACAGCACAUAUAUGACAACUGGAAUAAUAUAAAAAUGAUUAGAAUGGCCUUUCCUCAAAGAUGACAAACAAUUUUUGAGGCAUUCUAUUAACUUUA